AACGAACGCUGGCGGCAUGCCUAACACAUGCAAGUCGAACGAAGUCUUCGGACUUAGUGGCGCACGGGUGCGUAACGCGUGGGAAUCUGCCCUUGGGUACGGAAUAACUCAGAGAAAUUUGUGCUAAUACCGUAUAAUGUCUUCGGACCAAAGAUUUAUCGCCCACGGAUGAGCCCGCGUAAGAUUAGCUAGUUGGUGGGGUAAAAGCCUACCAAGGCGACGAUCUUUAGCUGGUCUGAGAGGAUGAUCAGCCACACUGGGACUGAGACACGGCCCAGACUCCUACGGGAGGCAGCAGUGGGGAAUAUUGGACAAUGGGCGAAAGCCUGAUCCAGCAAUGCCGCGUGAGUGAUGAAGGCCCUAGGGUUGUAAAGCUCUUUUACCAGGGAUGAUAAUGACAGUACCUGGAGAAUAAGCUCCGGCUAACUCCGUG
rnacentral:rRNA from 1 species